rnacentral:rRNA from 1 species
UACGUAGGUGGCAAGCGUUGUCCGGAUUUACUGGGCGUAAAGGGCGUGCAGGCGGUCUGUUAAGUGCAGGGUGAAAGCUCCCGGCUCAACUGGGAGAGGUCCUUGCAUACUGGCGGACUUGAGGGGGGUAGAGGAAAGUGGAAUUCCUGGUGUAGUGGUGAUAUGCGUAGAUAUCGGGAGGAACACCUGUGGCGAAGGCGGCUUUCUGGGCCCUACCUGACGCUGAGGAGCGAAAGCGUGGGGAGCGAACAGG